rnacentral:lncRNA from 10 species
CGCUGCAUGGGCAUGGCAGACCUGUCACUGUGCCCGGGGCCUGGCUCUCCUAUGUUCAGAAAGACAUUGGCCACUUGUGUCACCUGUGUUAAAAGCCACACUCAUGAAACCAGGUGAGAGGGAGGAUGCCUCUCCCUUGUGUGCCCUUCUUCACCCUUGAAAUAUUGCCCCGUGUAUUUGCUCCUUUGCCAAAAUAAUAAUAAUAACGAGUUUCCUAAAGACCUACUUACCUGGCUUAAGGAGAUCCUGGGCCCACCUAGUCUGCAAGGAGCAGAGAGGGAGAUGGGGAGCAGAGCCUGCCCGAUUUUCCUCCUCCUACCAUGGAUGAAUUCCUCAGCAGCUGCCAACCCUCUUCAACCUGGUCAGCCACUUGGCCCAAAGCUCUUGUUCUCCCAGGAGGGAAAUUCGGCCCAAGACUUUUAUUAGACAACAAUAUAUUGCGAGCUUUUUAAAAAGGACAGCACUAAAUAUCACAUUGUUACUUCGUUUAAGACAGUAACCAAUUUGCUUAUGGAUUCAUAGUUAUCAGAGGCUUCCAGCCAGCAUCCCUCAUGCAUGUCCACAGCAGAUUCAGAAGGUGCCCUGCGGCAUGUCUGCGUCUAGCACUGCGCAGCCGUAAAGUGCAUUUCUAGCGUCUAAUAAUCAUCGCUCUUCAGUACUCCUGCCGGGUGGGUCAGACUUACUCCAUUGCAUAUAAAAACACUGAGGUUAAGUGACUCACUCAAGAUAAUUGUCUGCAGACAGAGCCUGGCUAGGUGCACAGUGAAAGGAAUCCAGGGUCCUGUCCUCUUUGGGAGUGGCUAGACCUGGUCACUUUAGGCAGAGGUAUUUUGCCAUUAGUAAGCUCUGACGUCACCCAGAAUUCAUCUAGAAAGGGAGCUGUUGAAUUAUGGGGAUACUUUCCUCAUUAAUCAGCUUAGUAACAGUUAUCAUUUUUCAGGAACCAAUUGUGUGUGAGGGGUUUACAUUUCCUAUUUCUAAUCCUCACAAAGGUCUUACAAGGUAUGUAUGUCUGUUUUACAUAUAAGGAAAGCAAGGCUGUAGAAUUAAGAAGUUUACCAACCUCACACAGCCUCUAGGAUACCUAGCGAAGAACAGAGCCCAAUCAGGACCCCAAGCCAGCUGGCCCAGGCAGCGCUGUGUGGCUUAACCUCCAUACACGCAUGCAUUUAAUUUAUUUAAUGCAUUCUCUGUGCUAUGCGCUGUUCUAGACACCAGGGAUGAGACGGUGAAAAACAAAACAGAAAGACAUUGUCCUCAAGAAGCUGGCAUUCCAGCAGCAGGAGCAGGCUCGAAGCAGGUGCAGGGUCAUUCAGAUCACAUGACAUCAUGCCAGCCUCCUG